rnacentral:rRNA from 1 species
ACAGUGAUUCGGUCGGUAGCGGCGAGUGACCACCGAGAAGCUCAGCAACGAAGGUGUACAAUAAUAUGUGCAUCGGUGUUUGGUAAGGGUAGUCGUAUGUGAUUAUCUAUUAACUAUCAGCUAAGUGUACUGGAACGUACCGCCAUAGAGGGUGACAGCCCCGUAUGCAUAGUUAAUUUGUGAUCGAUUUGUACGCUACUUAUGAGUAUAGUUGUUUGAAAUUGCAACUAGAAGACAGGGGAUAUGUCUCCCCUAAAGCUAAAUAUGCCAGCGAGACCGAUAGAGAACAAGUACCGUGAGGGAAAGUUGAAAAGUACUCUGAAGAGAGAGUGAAAAGUAUGUGAAACCGAUGUGGGGGAAGGGAAGUGAAUAUACCAAUUUCUCUAAAACUACAAAGAGGUAGUGCUCAUAGAGAAAGACUAUUACAUAUCGACGGUGGCGCCGAAUAUGGUAUGAGGUGUUGCUGAAAUAAUUGCUUUUCGGCUCACUCUUACUAAUCAAUGAAAUAAGCAAACAGCUUCAAAUUUCAUGUCAUCUGCAGAGAUAUGUCUAUAGCAUAAUAAUUGGUGAUCAUUCCUGCCCGUCUUGAAACACGGACCAAGGAGUGUGUUGUCAUGUGCGAGUGAGUGGACGGAAUUAUAGGUCCAUAUCGCGUAGUGAAAGCAAAUACGCAAUUUAAUUGUGUAGCUAUAAUUGGUGAUGGUUAAGGUGCAGUAACUCGCAACCAACAGCGGCCAUUUGAUUUCGAUCGGUCGACUGGUAGCAUGUGACACACGACCCGAAAGAUGGUGAUCUAUGCUUGAGGAGGAUGAAGCCACGGGAAACCAUGGUGGAAGUCCGAAGCGGUUCUGACGUGCAAAUCGAUCGCGUGACUUGAGCAUAGGGGCGAAAGACCAAUCGAACCAUCUAGUAGCUGGUUCCCCCCGAAGUUUCCCUCAGGAUAGCAAAGGCUCAUGAUAAUGGUUGCUUUUCAAAGUACACCAUAAAUACAUAAUUUCAUCGGGUAAAGCGAAUGAUUAGAAGUAUGGGGAAAUUUUAUUUCUUCACUUAUUCUCAAACUAUAAAUCGGUGAGAAGUUCUUGUCAUUUAAUUAGACUUGAACAUGAGAUUCUUUUAGAAUCUAAUAUGAUGAUGUUAGUAGGGCAACUGAAAGCACAUCAUGCGAAUAUGAGAGCCUUUUGUGGGCCGUUUUUGGUAAGCAGAACCGGCGAUGUGGGAUGAACCAAAAGUUGAGUUACGGCGCCUAACUACUUGUUCAUGAGUAACCCAGAAAGGUGUUGGUUGAUCGAGACAGCAGGACGGUGGCCAUGGAAGUCGGAAUCCGCUAAGGAGUGUGUAACAACUCACCUGCCGAAUCAACCAGCCCUGAAAAUGGAUGGCACUAGAACUCGUGGCCUAAACUCAACCAUGAUCCCCAAAGAUCGAACAUUUAAAGCAUUAGAACUGCACCCUAUUGCUGUUCGAACUAUAUGAAUAACUCCGAGUCAAUUAAAUUUGUCCAGUAGUUAUAAAUGGAUCAUGAGUAGGGGGCGAACGAUGGUUGCUUAGAAGCAUGUGGGUGACCAUGUGUGGAGCGGCCAUUGGCUCAGAUCUUGGUGGUAGUAGCAAGUACUCAAUUAUGAACUUUGAGGACUGAAGUGGGAAAGGUUUUCAUGUGAACAGUGUUUGAACAUGAGUUAGCCGGUCCUGAGGAACAUGCUUAUGCAAAAUGAAUGUGCACGAUACUGACUGAUUGUUCUAUGAGGUUGGGUUGCACAAGUUCCGAAGGGGAAAUGGAUUAAUAUUUCCAUGCUAUUUCCAUCUGUAUUUGAGGUGGCGGUAACGCUGACGUGCGAGAUUGAUUCCGGUUGCUGGACACUGGCGAAGAGUUUUCUUUUCUUGUUAACCAUAUACCGAUCCUUGGAAUUGCAUUAAUGCAGAGAUAAGGAACACAAUAUGGGGAGAGAUCAACAGCAUUUGUUGAUUGCCACGUUGUCUGGUGAUCCCUUGAAGAAUCGAUCCCACAAUUAUACUAAUGGAAAUAACCGUACCUUAAACCGCAUCAGGUCCGUAGGGAAGUCGGCAAUUUUGAUCUGUACCUUAGGAAGAAGGAUUGGCUCUGAUGAUUGGGUGUAUUAUGCCAUGUAGUUGGUUUUGUUUUAAUGUUGGAUUUACGUGCUUAAUUAUUGAUUGUUUUCGGACAUGAAAUUUUUUUGACGUUUAUUCUCAUUAAUCAAUUCCUCUACUUAGCCUAACUGAUACGCGUUUAACAAUCACUAAUCAGAACUGGCUCGGACAAGGGGAAUCCGACUAGUUAAUUAAACUAAAGCUUUGCGAUGGCUACUAUAUGUGGUGAUGACGCAAAGUGAUUUCUGCCCAGUGCUCUGAAUGUCAAAGUGAAGAAAUUCAAUAAAGCGCGGGUAAACGGCGGGAGUAACUAUGACUCUCUUAAGGUAGCCAAAUGCCUCGUCAUCUAAUUAGUGACGCGCAUGAAUGGAUUAACGAGAUUCCUACUGUCCCUAUCUACCUUCCAGCGAAACCACAGCCAUGGGAACGGUCAUGGCAUAGUCAGCGGGGAAAGAAGACCCUGUUGAGCUUGACUCUAGUCAGAUAUUGUGAAGUGGCUCAAAAGGCGUAGAAUAGGAGGGAGAGACUUCGGUUUCGACAGUGAAAUACCUCUACUUUUGUUGUUGCUUCACUAAUCCGAUUAUAAUAUAAAUUUGUUGAGCAUUGCUUCUUCAAAUGGAUUUUAGUCCAAGUUAUUCCGUAAGGAAAUAACGAGUAUAAUUGGAGACAGUAUCUGGUGGGGAGUUUGACUGGGGCGGUACAUCUGUUAAAAGAUAACGCAGGUGUCCCAAGGCUAACUCAGUGGGGACAGAAACCUCACGUAGAGCAAAAGGGCAAAUGUUAGCUUGAUCUUGUUUUUCAGUGUGAAAACAGACCGUGAAAGCGGGGCCUAUCGAUCCUUUCGGUUUUAAAGACUUUAAACGAGAGGUGUCAGAAAAGUUACCACAGGGAUAACUGGCUUGUGGCAGCCAAGCGUUCAUAGCGACGUUGCUUUUUGAUCCUUCGAUGUCGGCUCUUCCUAUCAUUGCCAAGCAGAAUUGGCAAAGUGUUGGAUUGUUCACCCACUAACAGGGAACGUGAGCUGGGUUUAGACCGUCGUGAGACAGGUUAGUUUUACCCUACUGACUGAAUUAUAAUCUGGUUGACAGUAUUUUCACUUAGUACGAGAGGAACCGUGAAUACGCACCAAUGGUAACUCCAUCGUUCGAGUGACGGG